AAGCAAAAUCAGUGGUUCUAUCUGGCCAAGGCAUCAGUACACAAUUUUGACUGAAUUGCUGCUGCUGCUGCUGCUGAGUCGCUUCAGUCGUGUCCAACUCUGUGCGACCCCAUAGACAGCAGCCCACCAGGCUCCCCCGUCCCUGGGAUUCUCAAGGCAAGAACACUGAAGUGGGUUGCCAUUUCCUUCUCCAAUGCAUGAAAGUGGGCAAAGCUAAUCAAUACUAGCAAUUGUUUAAAAAUUCAAAACCUUUUUUGGACAUAGAAAAUGAGAGAUGACUUUGAAAGUGUUUUCAUAAUAUGUUUUUCUUUUAGUAAAACUCUUUCCAGUUCUUAAAAGUCCAGUUUGCUACAGACCCCCAAUCUGAUCUACCACUGCAUAUUAAUGAUCAACUUAUAUGUGGUUUUUAAAUGUGCAACGUCACAUUGUAGUAACAAUUAUAAAAAAGACUCUAUUUAGGCUUGAACUUUCUCCUUUUUUUUGUUCUUUUUCAGAAAAGAAGGAGUGCGGAAUUUGACUGAAUUAGGUUCCCCCAAACAAGCUAUGCAGACCCAGGGCACUUCCUGCUACCCUUCAAGGACAGAAAAGGUAAUUCAUAGCCCCACCUACUGCUGAGUAUAGUACACAAUCCUUCCUGACUAUCUAAUUAAGCCUAGAUAGACAAUCCAGGUGACUGUCUAACUGUUUCCAGUUAACUGUUUAACAGUUAAACUAACUGUCUAACUGUUUCCAGAGUAGGAAACCAACUCAGCAGUCUUGUCCAAUUGUUUUCAACCAGGGACAUCCUUCCACUUCAGAGCUUGGGAAGUGGCCUCACCCCCAAAUAGACCCUGAUAAAAAACUCUAUCUGCCCAAGGCAUUAUCAACAGGCAUAUCUAGAAAAACUAAGCUGAGCUGACUGGUGAAGAACUGCUUUUGACAAAGCAAGUCUGUAAGUCUGAAAAAGGAAAACACUUACUUAAAUGUUCCAAUACUGAUAUAAGAAAUUAAGGAUAUUUGGCAAAACUAAUACAAUUUGUAAAGUUUAAAAAUAAAAUAAAAUUAAAAAAAAAGAAAAGAAAAGAA
rnacentral:lncRNA from 1 species